UUCAGCAGCGCCAGCAGCGGCGUGAUCGGGUGCCACGCCGACACCGUGUCGAUGAUGCCGUCCAUCGUGCCCGUCGCCGCCUUCAUCUGCUCGGGGUCGCGGCUGACCAGAAACUCGUCGGCGCCGAGGUGCUCGACGGCCUCCUGGCGCUUGCUCGGGGACGUGCUGAUGACGGUGACCUUCAUCCCGAACGCCUUGCCGACCUUGACGGCGACGUGGCCGAGGCCGCCGAGGCCCACGACGCCCAGGUGCUUGCCGGGCUCGUUCAGGCCGUGGCGCAUCAUGGGGCUGUACACGGUCACGCCGGCGCAGAGCAGCGGCGCGGUGCGGUCCAGCGGCAGGCUGUCCGGGACGCGGAGCACGUAGUGCUCGUUCACGACGAUGACGUCGGAGAAGCCCCCCUUCGUGGCGGCGCCGCCGUGCGCGCGGUCGACGCCGUUGGAGGUGAGCACGACCCCGGCGCAGUAGUUCUC
rnacentral:lncRNA from 1 species